rnacentral:lncRNA from 1 species
AGAGUUCUCCAGAUCCUCCAAGCGCCGUCGGCGCCACCACACCAGACACUGUUCACGAGGCCUCAAAGCGUGAAGGCGGUGGCCCGGGGCCGACUCCCGGGUGACCGCCAAUUUGGUCCCAAGACACUUCAGGAUCUCGCAACCGAUGGAGGACAGCGCGGUUCCAAGAGAGGGCGCCAAAGGCGACGCGCUGGCGGCCAGCUCCAAGCCAACCAGGCCCAUUGCGUCCGUCUGCAGGAACCUGUCUCUUCACCCUGCUUUGGACACUGAGCUUCGGAGGAUCUGGCUGCGAGCUGAUUCAACGCCAGGGCGCCGCCUAGAGGUCGGUCGCGUCCUCGGUCUCGCUCACCCACCACAGAGCUGCUUGUCCAAGCCACAGUGUCAGACUUAAACAAAACAAAACAAAAUUCCUGCUUGGAUCAGAGACUUGGCUUCUGGGACCGUUGACUUAUCAGAAACUUGCCUCCUCUCUGCUUCAUAACGAACCCCAGGAAGAGAGAGGGACCAGGAUUCUCAAAGAAAUAUUUGUCCUUGUGGCACCGACUAGGUGGAAGAAAAGUCUCAACAUGUCAGUUUCUUUUAAGGAUCUUAGAUUCUGUGUCUAGGUCUGCACUGGUUCGUCUCACUACCCAGCUUGCUCAGCUUAACCUCCUUCUCCAGUUCGUGCCAGGACGAAGAAAGGGGUCAUGGAAAAGUUACCCUUUUCUCUUAUAGAUCCAUUACAAGAUUUCUAGAUAAUUUGGAGAUGGACAUGUUUUGGAAAAGAAUUUGGAAAACAUCUCUCUCGUGUGUGUGUGUGUGUGUGUGUGCAGUGAUAGGAAAAAAUUGCCCAAAUAGCCUUUACUUACUAAGUAAGCUCCCACUGGUGUCCCAGCAAUAGUCAAGGGGGUACUUGGAGACACCAGCAGCCCUGCCCAGGGAAGUUUGUGCUGAGCCUUUGAAAGCUGAUUUUUGAGAUAAGGAUGACCUUGGAAGGCAUCCAACCAACAGGGUUGAGGUGUCCUUAAAGUCCAUGCAGGCUUCUUUUUUGAGACUGAGAUCAAAAGCCUGAGUUGUGGAGCUGCAGAGCCUCCAAGAAUGCGUGCUCCCGAGAGUGUGUAUACACACAAGGUAUGCUGAGCUAAAGGUGUAGCCUCUUCCGGUUUUCCAAGGAACCCCUGUUGUCUCCAGUCAUGGAGCUACAGAGACCAGGCCAGCAGUGGGCUGGGAGCCAGCACACUGAUCUUGAGCCAUGGCUGUCCCUGACCAGGCAGCUCUAUUGGAGAUAGAAAAAUAAUAGUUUUGAGCAGCUGAGGACCGUUGGCCCACUCUGUCCUUCUUCCUCCCUCUCCUAUGUCUUCUAGAGGAAAAUGCUAAUAGAAGGUGUCAAGGUGUCACCACAGUGUUUCCAAUAGAAGUGGAGGAUGAUGAAGACCAAAGGAAGGGAGCACACAGUGAAGAUACAUGAUGGGCAGAGCUGCAGGGGCUCCCCCAUGUCAUUUUGGGAAAUAAAUAUUCUGUAGGUAUAAGGUACUUUCUGUCCCAGGUGCUCUUCCCUCUUGGUGCCAGGUCCUCCCACAGGGUGGACUACAACACUACUGCUCACCCCUAGCCAAUCUUUGGCAGAAUGAGACUGCCAAUUCAGCUUUUUUUUUUUUUUUUAAUAGGAGACACCUUGGUAUUUUCUGAGCCCCUUUAAAAAAAAAAUCUAUCUGUAUUUUUUUAAUCUCCAGAGGAGGGAGACUUGGCAGCACUUCCUGGAGGGAGGGAUGAGUUGGCUAGGUUGCCGCUGCACCUGUGUGUCUGUGGGACAGGGGACCCCUCCUGGGUCUGCAGCUGAGACUGAGAUUAUCUCAGCCUUUUGAGUGUAUUUUAGACCCGAAGUUUUGGUGCUUGGUGAUGAAUAAUUGGGGUGCAGGGAAUCCCUUUGCUGUCCCCCCAAAUCGCAUAAUCAUGUACUUCCAGUACACAAAGAGGGUCAGAAGCCACUAUCAUGGCUCCUGGUUCUCUGGAGUCCCCGGAGAAAGAGAAUUUUUUUUUCCUAUUAGUUUUGCGCUGCAGUGCUCUGGUAGAACAAAUCCGGAUUCCACGAAAUUGUGGAGGGGGCGGGAGCAAACUGCCCAUGACGGAAGGCAGUGGUAACUUGAGGUCCACUGCUUGCUUUGAUUUGGUUUUGAAGCUUGUAAAAGAAAGGGAGAGAAGCAAGCAGUGAGACUCGGGGACAAGGAACAUUACUGUGUUGUCAUUUGUGCUUUGUACGCGGGACAAGGAGAUCCCCGCGGGUUUCACCUCUGGAGCGGUUCACUGCUCAGCCCCCUUUAAGCCCUGCGAGUUUUCCAAGUCUUAUCCCCUGUCCUAUUUUAACAAGUACCUGGCAAUAAACGGGUGGGGCAGGACAAAGGUCUGGAAGCCGGAAAGCAGCGGAAAACCCUAAACCCCCCGCAACAAGCAGAUAGCACAUCAGCUGGGCUUGUAGCGAGGAGUUGCAGGGCUCCCAGCUCUGCCUAGCAGGUUGCUAGGAGCCCCGCAUCCAGAGUCCUUGGCUUGGCUCUGGGUUCUAGGGGCCCAGGUUAGGCGUCCACAGGCUUCCAGUCCUGGCCACGGAGCUAGAGAGAAAGGCACCGAGGCCCGGGAGACUUCUCCCCACGCGGGCAGAGUCUGCAAGCUCCUUUAGCCUAGUAAAUUGUUCUCCUUUCCUUAUACCCGCCCCGGUCGUGUUUCUUUUCAGGACAAGAGGGGAUAUAAAUUGUUUGAAGUUCAUCAGCACGGUGAAGUUUUAUUGUAUUUCCGGUCCCUAAAAGAGAAGCCGGCAGCCAGGCAGACUCCCUCCUUAUCUCCGAGUUUCCACGCUAGGGACACACACGUGGCCAAGCGGACACUUGCCUUCGGGAGCAGGGAGGGAGGGAGCCGGCUCCGACCGACUCUCCCUCACUGGCUCAGGUAAGUCUAAGAGGCCUCUGAUAGUUGUGGCAUCAACUGAGCCACAACCUGUGAGGAUGUGCGAAGUGACUUUGUAGGGAUGGAAGAGAGCGGGAGACAAGGAUGUACUCAGACUAGAGGAAGCAAACUUGUUCUCUGCCUUUCCCCAGCCAGGUCCUCAACGUCUCCACUUCUUUGUAAAUGCGGAAAAGAGUGGCCUACCUGGGACUGUCCAGCAGCUGUGAAACCAGAGUCCUAUCGUAUGCCAGCAGAGUGACUGUUUCAGCCUUAUUGUUUGUGCCCUAGAAUUCACGGUGCCUUCUAACCCUGACUU